UAUUAGGUACAUGCCUCCAACAAAGCGUUAGUCCACCAAAUCCCAUUGGAACUCUGCAGCUAAGCGCGCUUGGGCUAGAGUAGUACUGGGAUGGGUGACCACCUGAGAAGUCCUAUUGUUUUACUUU
rfam:Picea glauca, whole genome shotgun sequence.